rnacentral:lncRNA from 1 species
GGCUCUCAUCCAGGGGCAUCUGCCCACAGCUCAUAUUUUUCUGUCCAGUGACAGCUAAAUGAAGAGAAAGCUAACUUUACAACCGCCCACUUCACAUAUAAUGAAUAUGAAUGGGUAUCCCGGAGCCUGUUUUGUGGGAUUGUCUGUGAGCUAACCUCAGACCUCCGCCCAGGCCAGUGGUUCCUCAAGGCCAGGCCUGUGCUCUGGCCACUCCUUCUGGGAAGGGAAAGGGGAAGUGGCCCCUCCUGAAAUCCCAGCUCAUUUUGCUGAGGCUCCUGUCUCCCCCAGAGAAGAUGCCAGAGCCCUAAAUCUUGGUCCUGGCAGAAACACGGACACCAGGUCAGGACUGGAGGGCCACAGCCAGGGGGCCCAUCAGUCUAGUCUGCCCACCUCAGUCAGCAGCUGGAAAUGCUUCUCAUGCAAGGCAUUCAAUCCUCCUUCCCCACCUCUCCCAUUUACACUUCAACCUGAAUUACAACCCCAAAGUGCAGACCCUCUGCAGCUCCAGAUGGGAAGAGUCUAGCAUGGCCAGGAACUGGGAAGACCCUAACAUUUCCUUUAUCCAGCAGAGGAAAGACUUCCCCUGCCCCAGCCUCCUCCACAGGCUCAUCCCAGGCAUUUCACCUGGAAGGUGGUGAGCAUCAAGCGUCAGCUGUCAGAGCCCUUGAUUCUGAUGCUGGAGCCCCCUUCCUUCCCACUUAGCGACUGCUGGCUCCCCCAGCAAUCUCUCCUCCAAUACUAAGAGGCUGGGACCAGUGGGACCUGUGGUAAGCCCUUCAGACGUCUGUUACCUAUCAUGCUAUUGCUUUUACUUGCUCUUAUGGCUGUGUCUCCAUCAACUGCGAGCUCGAGAGAAGUGAGAGAGUGUGGUAUCCUAGUAACCUGGAUAUCCAGGGCAUCUACCACAGGGCCUGGCCCCAACAGGCCUUCAAGGUGUGAUGGCAGGUUGCUGGACGAGUAGCUGACUCUUCUGAGAUGCCUCUGGAUUCACAGCAGCCAGCUAGGUCCAGGGGCUUUAAGGAGGCCUAAGACAUGGUUCUGGUCCUUGAAAGGGAUUUCUGUCUUCUAGGGGACAUAGGAAAUGGGUACAAAUUCAUAGAACAUUAGAGUUUGAGGGGCCAUUGCCAAGACUAAGAACUGCUACCAUUUAUUGUCAUCCCUUGUCAGCCAGACAUGUAGGUUCAUUUCCACAAUCUUACUCAGCCCAUGCAAUACGGCUAUUAUUAAACCAAUUUUUACAGAUGAGUCAACUGAGCCUUGGAAAUUGACUAGCUCAAGGUCCCUCAGUGAGUAAAUGUCAGAGCCCGAAUUGAAAGUCAGGGCUGUCUCACUCCCAAAGGGUGCUCCUCCCUUGUUUUAUAGCCAGCAGCCUGAGGCUGACUGUGCCAAGUGCCAAAUGAAUGUAACAACUAUUCUCCUCUGAGAAGUCAGCUCUUUGAGGACAGACGGAAGCCAGCCUCCUGGGAAAUGAGCCUAACAGGUAUAGAAGGGGCAGCCAACACAAGAGUCCUCUGGGACCCAGAAGAGAAAAAAAUUUAGGCUCAGGCUGAAAAGAAAAAAAGACGGCAGCAACAGCCAAGUUACCCUGAGGAGGGCAUAUUCAGGGAACAUCAGAGGCUAGGCUAAGGCUAAGCUUAGGUGGUCCAGUUAGGACCUAAAGCAAUGGACAUUUACCAUGAAUCUUUCAUGCCGGGGACGAUGCUAGAGCAAAUGUGAAGUGUUGGCUGUGGUGAAUAAAUGAGCAAAUGAAGGCACUGGUGGUAAGUGCUGGGGUAUGACAAUGACUAAUAGCAAAGGGUGUGAGGGAGUGAAAAAAAUGCGUGCGCUGAGACAGAGGCCUGGAUUUGAAUCCUGGCUCUUGCCUUUAUAUGACCUUGGGCAAGUUCUUUAUCCUUUCUGUGCCACAGUUUUCUCCUGUGCAAAAUAGGGAUUAAAAUGGCAUGUAUCUUUCAGGAUAUCACAAGGAAUAUGUAAGAUAUUAUACAUCAAGUGGUUAGAACGCUGGCUGGCACAUUGUAAGUACUCAGCAUUUGCUGGCUUUGUAGAAAAUAAGGCUUUGAGAAGCAUCUAAUAUUGUGCCUGGUACCUACUUGGCAACCCAUAAGUGGUAACUCUUACGAUUAACAAGGGACAGCUCCCAUCCUUAGAGUGAUACUGCCUCAGGGUAAUCUGUCCCUCGGUGGAUUGAAGGAGCAGUGGACCCUGACCCUGCUUAGCAAUAAACAACAUUUUAUGUAACUCAAUCAAAGUACAAAGGGUCUUCAUGUACUCUGCCCAUUUCAUGACCCAUAUGAGAUUUAAAAAGCCACAAAAACUGUGUGGCUCCAAAAGACAUUUCUGUACAAAGACCUGAGUUCAAAUGGCCAACCUGCCACUAAUACACUCUGUGGCUGUGAGAAGCCCCUUCCUCUCCCCAGGCUGGCUCCUGGGCCUACAGCUGAAAGGAUUUGCCUGCCCAGGCUUUAUGGCCCUUGCAGCUUUGAUAGUCCUGCAUUCUCUUUUGCAGGUCAGAGGAGAGACAGGCCUCGACCACGCAGUUUCAGUGACUCAGGCUUCAUGGGAGAGUAAGAAUGUGAAAAAUCCAUCUCUCCCUAAUUGAAAUCUCAAGAUACAUAUUUCCUGUCAGUCCUGGAAAGAAAUAGCAGAAAAUCCAUCAUCCACACAUAAAUUGUGUCAAUUCCCUUGUCCUGUACAAGUUACUUUGGGGCACAGGGCCCAUCAGUCACAGAUGGGACUUCCCAUCUCACAGCUGUGUGACCAUCAGGAGUACACUGCUGCCUUCCACCCCUGCUGUCCCUAACCAUGCUGGCACAUCAAAAGGCCUGUCCUGAGGCUCAGCAGGUCCCAGGCCAGGCAGGCAUGAACACAAGACCCAAAGAAGGGGAGAUGCUCCCCAGAACAUGUUUCCUUUACAAGUCAAGACCCCUUGGAGAUUUAACAACCUACAAAACAACUGCCUACAGGUAAAAUAAGAGCUUCCAGGAAUUCUAAAAAGGAAACACUCCUUUCACCAGCAUCAAAACACUAAUAUCUUCUCAGGCAGAUGAAACCAGGGGUCUGGAGGCCAAAGUGGAGGCGCCAGGUGUCCACUGACACCUACUACAAAGAUUUUCCUUGCUUUUCUCUCAGCCACAGGGGGCUCCUGGGCCCUCCAACACUUUUUCCCACCGUGAACCUGACUCCUGAUGGUCUGCUUCCUAGGCUCUGAGUACUGAAGUUUCCCCUCAGUCCCAACCACCUGCCCCAGGGAGGACCUAGAGCAGCAGACCCCCUUGCUUUGACCUAGCCCCUCCCUCCAUAGCACUGACACUGGUUUGGCUGAGGCCAGCUCAGUGAUGUGAUCCAGAGAAACCUGGGGCUCCUACUGAAAUUACAGCAAACCCAGGGGUGCAGGACAAUGUGUCAGUAAAGUAACCUAGUGCCCUGGAGUUGGGCUAGAGCAAUCCCAGAUUACUGUGGGGUUAACUUACACUGGAUAAAUGCCAACUCUCUCUCCUCUUCCCCCAGGAUGGGAAAGGCAGGCAGCUUGACAAGGACAAGCGUUGACCAGCAAUGCUAGCAGAAA